rnacentral:rRNA from 1 species
UACGUACGAGGCGAGCGUUAUCCGGAAUUACUGGGCGUAAAGCGCGCGCAGGUGGACGUCUAAGUUGGGCGUGAAAUCUCCCGGCCUAACUGGGAGGGGUCGCCCAAGACUGGGCGUCUUGAGGAUGGCAGAGGUAGGUGGAAUUCCUGGUGUAGUGGUGAAAUGCGUAGAGAUCAGGAGGAACACCGGUGGCGAAGGCGGCCUACUGGGCCAUCACUGACGCUGAGGCGCGAAAGCUCGGGGAGCGAACGGC